rnacentral:rRNA from 1 species
CCUACGGGCGGCAGCAGUGGGGAAUAUUGGACAAUGGGCGAAAGCCUGAUCCAGCCAUGCCGCGUGUGUGAAGAAGGCCUUCGGGUUGUAAAGCACUUUCAGUGGGGAAGAAAGCCUUGGGGCUAAUACCCUCGAGGAAGGACAUCACCCACAGAAGAAGCACCGGCUAACUCCGUGCCAGCAGCCGCGGUAAUACGGAGGGUGCGAGCGUUAAUCGGAAUUACUGGGCGUAAAGCGCGCGUAGGCGGUCUGAUAAGCCGGUUGUGAAAGCCCCGGGCUCAACCUGGGAACGGCAUCCGGAACUGUCAGGCUAGAGUGCAGGAGAGGAAGGUAGAAUUCCCGGUGUAGCGGUGAAAUGCGUAGAGAGCGGGAGGAAUACCAGUGGCGAAGGCGGCCUUCUGGACUGACACUGACGCUGAGGUGCGAAAGCGUGGGUAGCAAACAGGAUUAGAUACCCGAGUAGUC